UCCUGGUGGAAAGUCCAGGGGUCAGAAAGUAAAAAUCCUGCCAUGUGUUUCUUCUACAUGAAGUCAGCCAACUGAUUUAACCAAAUACUUCUACCUCCUGGGUGAAGAAUUGCAUCAACCAGCAAAUCCAGAUGCUUAUGACCCUCACCUUGGCACAGAUGCCAGAAAUUACAUGAGCCAUAAGAUCCAGGCUCAAAUCCUCCAGACACAACCUCACAAAAGAUGCAGAUCCCAUAACGCGGAUCAGAACAGGACUGCUAUUAACUCUGGGCGCCAAGUCAAUCUCUUCCUGGCUUUGUCAGUCUGGCCACCCCACAACAUCCCCCUCCCACCCCAAUUCCUUGUGCUACCUACCUGUGAGGAGCAGGAGGCUUUGCAAAAAACCUUGGAAGAGGAAAUGGGAAACCAGUCUGGAAUCUUCGGCAAGCACGGUUGUGAUAACGUCUGAACUGCAGUGUAAGAGUGAAAGGGAAAAACAACGCUUACAAAUGCAAAAACACCCUUAUCUAGGCAAGGCCAUUGGAAACCUCCCUGCAGUGGGUGGAGUCAGGGUUAUUCAAAUACAGCUUGGCCAUAGAGGCGGAGCGGGGAUGCCUUUAGCUCGGCCAUGUUUGUUUGAAAAGGAUUUACCGUGGCCCCAGAGACAUGAUCUCACCGAGCAACAAUCGAGGGCGUGGCCGCGCACUGGCGACAGCGGAGCUGCUGUCGCCAUGGAGACGGCACACAUGGAAGGCAGGUCUGUGGAACUGAAGGGGUGGCCCGUGGUGAUCAUAUCGCAGGCUACAGGUGCUGGACUCUGCCAUGCGCCUGGUCACAAUGCAGGCCUUGAAUGCUGUCAUAUCCCGGGCAGCAAAUGUUUCGCAGAGGCUUGACACACACAUCCGAUUCUAUUAAGGAACCUAGACCCUGUGUAAGGUGGCGAUCUUUUUUUUAAAUAAUAUUUUUUCUAAGUUGUGCUUGUUUGGAGGUCUAAUCUUUAGCUUAGCUAUGUGCCACUCCUACAUUUAGAGUGGGUGUGGCUGCCCUGGUGAUCCACAACAUUUCAAUCAGACAGAUUUCUCCAGGCUGGGAGUUAUAUAUCUAUAAAUUUGUCAUGUUUUAAAUGCCAGUUUAUUUUUCACCAGCUUAUUGAUCAAUUGACCAGCAAAAAUAGAUUUUAAUUCCCUUCAGGAUAGCAUACUUAACCUCCCUUUAGAUUAUGCUUGUAUGUAUGAUCAUUUUUGGACAAUAUUGCUUUAAACUCUAGUUAGAGACAAGAUAAUGCUUUUCAACCCAGGUGACUUAACACCUCUUAUAUUAAUUGUUGGUUUCAAGUUUGGGAAAAAAUGGAGUCUAAAUGGAGUACAGUCAUUUAUCUUUUGAAUAGUACAUUCCAUUGGGGAAAAAUCUACUUUAUAUUCCUUACAAACCCUUGAGAUUUCUGACUUGAGUGAACUAGAACAUUGAAGUAGAAAUUCCACUUGAACAAGACAAGAAACUUGUUUGUGUGUGGAAUCUUUGUAAAGGUCAAAAAGUAGCGCCUGAUUCGGCAUACAGUACAAGGCUGCUCAAAGAACUGCAGCCGCGUUACUCCAGGCCAUGGUCCAGCCCUACACCGCAACCCAUGCAUGUUCUACUGCCACCAGGCACCUGGCUCUUCCCUCCCUGUGGUGAGGUGGCCUCAACUCUUCUCCCUACUGACUCCCCAAUGGUGGAACAACCUGUCCAUCUCAGUCAGGAUAGCGGAGUCCCUCCCUACCUUCCGGCAUGACCUGUAGAACCAUUUCUUCAGAAAAUACCUCCUCCCUCUUUCCUCGCUUUGAUUCACAUACCAUUCUUCCACAUUCCCUCCCUCUAUAUAUCCUAUAUUCCCCUAUCCCCCAAAAAUAAACAAAAAAAUCCUUUCCCUUUCUUCCUUAUGUACGUUGAUUCUACCGACACCUAUCACCAGGUUUAUAAAGCCCAGCCAUUGUACUUCUUAUUAAUUGCUACUUGGGAUUUUCGUGAUUUAUGAAUCUUUUCUUUUCAAAGGCCUUUUGUUCCUCUGCACACAUUUUAAGCUGGCUGUGGAUGAGAAUGUCAGCUAAAUGCCUACGAUGUAAAUAUAGGUCCAAAUAUUAACUGUGGUACUGUUGAGAAUUUCUGCAUAGUUUUAAUUUCUAAAUUAAAUUUUGAUUGAAAAACAUGUUUAUGUAAU